AUGUGCGAUCAUACUAGCACUAAUGCACCGGAUCCCAUCAGAACUCUGUAGUUAAGCGUGCUUGGACGAGAAUAGUACUAGGAUGGGUGACCUCCUAGGUGUAGAGGAGGAUGAUA
rfam:Lupinus angustifolius cultivar Tanjil contig_15457, whole genome shotgun sequence.